GACGAACGCUGGCGGCGUGCCUAAUACAUGCAAGUCGAACGAGAGCGACCGGUGCUUGCACUGGUCAAUCUAGUGGCGAACGGGUGAGUAACACGUGGGUAACCUGCCCAUCAGAGGGGGAUAACAUUCGGAAACGGAUGCUAAAACCGCAUAGGUCUUUGAACCGCAUGGUUUGAAGAGGAAAAGAGGCGCAAGCUUCUGCUGAUGGAUGGACCCGCGGUGCAUUAGCUAGUUGGUGAGGUAACGGCUCACCAAGGCCGUGAUGCAUAGCCGACCUGAGAGGGUGACCGGCCACAUUGGGACUGAGACACGGCCCAAGCUCCUACGGGAGGCAGCAGUAGGGAAUCUUCCGCAAUGGACGCAAGUCUGACGGAGCAACGCCGCGUGAGUGAAGAAGGUUUUCGGAUCGUAAAACUCUGUUGUUAGAGAAGAACAAGUGCUAGAGUAACUGUUAGCGCCUUGACGGUAUCU
rnacentral:rRNA from 1 species